UCAAUGUGAGAGGAUGAAUAGAUGAAUUAUCUAUAAGCGGGACUCUGCUAGAAUGAGACCGAUAGAGCCGAUAGUCGCUGAGCGUGGCCACGUGCGCUGCUUGGUUAGAGUGAGAAGCAACAUAAUGAAAAGGGAAUGCCAAAGAUUGAGAAGACAAAAGCAGCUGCACAAAACUGCGCAUUAAUCGUUGAGAAGCCAAAGUAGACGCAAGUGGACGCGUUAAAUGCGCGUAGUGUAGAUCAUCAUGAGUGACGCCAAUGUGGACAUUAAUAACCCGACGUGUACUUAUAAAAGGUGCAGAAUGGCAACAACAACAGAGGAUGCUUAUAAGAAUACCCUUUCACGUAAGACGAUGUUGUAUUAUGCAUAUAAUGGCAGCUGACCCAUGCCAUAAGUUCAAUCCAAAUGGAGGAGGAGAGGAGGAGUAAAGGUUUUCAGCGCCGCCUACGAGCCACGCCCACUGUUCGGCCACCCCGCUUCGGAAAAUUUGCAUUAAACCCGCCAAAUGAGCUCAGUGGAUGAGUUUGGAUGUGGAGGCGGAUGCGGAUGCGGAUGCAGAGGCGGAUGCCAUCAGUUUUCCACAGAACGGGGAGCAGAGCAGGGCGGGUGGAGAUUGGAAUAAAGCGAUGCCAGCGGCAAACAGCGCGGAACCGAGCGCCCAUGAAGUGAGCUGGAUCUGGAGAGGACUCUGCACAUGUGCACAUGUAGGGACAGGGAUUGGAGUGAU